UUUUAACUUCGUGCUAGUUCAUACUGAGUCUAGUUGUGGUAGAACUAGACUCAGUAUGAACUAGAACGAAGUUAA
rnacentral:pre_miRNA from 1 species